UACGUAGGGGGCAAGCGUUGUCCGGAUUUAUUGGGCGUAAAGAGCGUGUAGGCGGCCUGAAAGGUCAGCUGUGAAAACUCGAGGCUCAACCUCGAGACGUCGGUUGAAACCAUCUGGCUAGAGUCCGGAAGAGGAGUGUGGAAUUCCCGGUGUGGCGGUGGAAUGCGCAGAUAUCAGGAGGAACACCGAUGGCGAAGGCAGGUCUCUGGGCCGAUACUGACGCUGAGGAGCGAAAGCGUGGGGAGCGAACAGG
rnacentral:rRNA from 1 species